GAUGAACGCUAGCGGCAGGCUUAACACAUGCAAGUCGAGGGGUAGGUUACUUCGGUAAUUGAGACCGGCGCACGGGUGCGUAACGCGUAUACAAUCUACCUUUUACAGAGGGAUAGCCCAGAGAAAUUUGGAUUAAUACCUCAUAGUAUUUUUGAAUCGCAUGAUUUGAUUAUUAAAGUUCCAACGGUAAAAGAUGAGUAUGCGUCCCAUUAGCUAGAUGGUAAGGUAACGGCUUACCAUGGCUACGAUGGGUAGGGUCCUGAGAGGGAGAUCCCCCCACACUGGUACUGAGACACGGACCAGACUCCUACGGGAGGCAGCAGUGAGGAAUAUUGGACAAUGGGCGCAAGCCUGAUCCAGCCAUGCCGCGUGCAGGAAGAAGGUCCUAUGGAUUGUAAACUGCUUUAUACAGGAAGAAACACUACUUCGUGAAGUAGCUUGACGGUACUGUAAGAAUAAGGAUCGGCUAACUCCGUGCCAGCAGCCGCGGUAAAGUCGUACG
rnacentral:rRNA from 1 species